rnacentral:rRNA from 1 species
UACGUAGGGCGCAAGCGUUAUCCGGAAUUAUUGGGCGUAAAGAGCUCGUAGGCGGUCUGUCGCGUCGGCUGUGAAAACCCGAGGCUCAACCUCGGGCCUGCAGUCGAUACGGGCAGACUAGAGUGCUGUAGGGGAGACUGGAAUUCCUGGUGUAGCGGUGAAAUGCGCAGAUAUCAGGAGGAACACCGGUGGCGAAGGCGGGUCUCUGGGCAGUAACUGACGCUGAGGAGCGAAAGCGUGGGGAGCAAACAGG